AUUGAACGCUGGCGGCAGGCCUAACACAUGCAAGUCGAACGAGUGGCGGACGGGUGAGUAAUGUCUGGGAAACUGCCUGAUGGAGGGGGAUAACUACUGGAAACGGUAGCUAAUACCGCAUACCAUCGGAUGUGCCCAGAUGGGAUUAGCUAGUAGGUGGGGUAAAGGCUCACCUAGGCGACGAUCCCUAGCUGGUCUGAGAGGAUGACCAGCAACACUGGAACUGAGCCACGGUCCAGACUCCUACGGGAGGAAGCAUUGGGGAAGAUUGCACAAGGGGCGCCGGCAUGAUGCAGCCAUGCGGGGUUUAUGACGAAGGGCUUCGGGUUGUAAAGUACUUUCAGCGGGGGGGCGUUACCCACAGAGUAAGCCCCGGCUAACUCCGUGCCAGCAGCCGGGGUAAUUC
rnacentral:rRNA from 1 species